rnacentral:rRNA from 1 species
UACGGGUGGAGCAAGCGUUGUUCGGAUUUAUUGGGCGUAAAGAGCUCGUAGGCGGUUCGCUAAGUCGGGUGUGAAACCUCCAGGCUCAACCUGGAGACGCCACCUGAUACUGGAUGGCUCGAGUGCAGGAGAGGAACGCGGAAUUCCAGGUGUAGUGGUGAAAUGCGUAGAUAUCUGGAGGAACACCGGUGGCGAAGGCGGCGUUCUGGACUGCAACUGACACUGAGGAACGAAAGCCAGGGGAGCAAACGGG